AUCUGGAAUGUUAAAAAGGUGCGAGGGGAAGAUGGCGGCCUAAGAGGACGCUGAGCUCACCGCGUCCUGCGGAUCACUUAGAUUCCACCCACACCUGCCUAAAUAACCCAGAAAAUCACCAGAAGACUAGCAGAAUGGAUU